GAUGAACGCUAGCGACAGGCUUAACACAUGCAAGUCGAGGGGCAGCACGGGAGUAGCAAUACAACUGGUGGCGACCGGCGCACGGGUGAGUAACGCGUAUGCAACCUACCUAUCAGAGGGGAAUAACCCGGCGAAAGUCGGACUAAUACCGCAUAAAACAGGGGCACCGCAUGGUGAUAUUUGUUAAAGAAAUUCGCUGGUAGAUGGGCAUGCGUUCCAUUAGGUAGUUGGUGAGGUAACGGCUCACCAAGCCGACGAUGGAUAGGGGAACUGAGAGGUUGGUCCCCCACACUGGUACUGAGACACGGACCAGACUCCUACGGGAGGCAGCAGUGAGGAAUAUUGGUCAAUGGGCGGGAGCCUGAACCAGCCAAGUCGCGUGAAGGAAGAAGGAUCUAUGGUUCGUAAACUUCUUUUGCAGGGGAAUAAAGUGCAGGACGUGUCCUGUUUUGUAUGUACCCUGAGAAUAAGGAUCGGCUAACUCCGUGCCAGCAGCCGCGGUAACAC
rnacentral:rRNA from 1 species